GUAGAAGCCAACUUUUACAAUUAGAGGGUAGAGGACCUGCUGGGUCGGGCAACAAGAAGUAUGUGCAACAUCAAGUUGGUGGAUGGAUGUCUAGGUUACCAAGUACACCAUAUCGUGACGGUUACCAGCAAGGGUCAGGUGCAGUCACUGCUAGGUCAGAUUCACACAAUAGCGCUGAACCACCAACUGCAACAAGCGGCCCUUGCACAGUCACAGCGUCUUCUGGCUGAACCUGAGCGGCUAUUACUGAUAGGCCAGCUUCGUACAAGUGGGCCACCAACUGCAAAGAGCGGCCCUUGCGCAGUUAAAGUGCUUCUGGCUGAAGCUGGGUGGCAGCAACUGUCUGACCGAGGAAUUUGGUGGGGUUGUUUUGCGGCCCUGCCCACACUCCCCUAACAAGAACAGGAUGAGUCAUCUAGUCCCUAACCCAGUCCCCAACAGUGGGUGCAGUGCCAAAAACCCAUUGAGCUGACACUGGGCAUCACGUGUGAGAUGAUCUACCAGUCUUUUGGAGCCACGUCAUGGUUGGAGAGCACUUGAACCUUCUUUGAAGGCUACUGACUAGGAUCCUGGCUGCGAGUUUUGGAGCCAUAAUACCCUACACUGCCCCGACCUCUUACUUUGUAGAGACCCAGACCAGAGCCCCUAUAGAGCUGACAGGCUGACGCUGGAAGCCAUGCUGGAGGAGACUAGAGAUAGGCCUAAGAUCAAGCUGGGCAUCCGCAAAUGCAAGAAUGCAUGGGGACAAUCGCCAACAAGUGUGACUGCCAAGGCCGUGCUGGUUUCCAGUAAAUGCUUGCAAACAGGGGUUUUCCUUAACUUUUUCCUUUACUGGCCGACCGGGCCAGUAAACCAGAGUUUUCACUGGCCCGCAACCUUUUUCACUAGCCCACAUGUUUUAAUAGCAACUUUCGAUCAAAUCACCAUUUUUGACAACAUUUUUGAUAAUAAAUUAUGCAAUAUGAAUACAAUCGGCAAU